CUAAGCAUAUCAAUAAGCGGAGGAAAAGAAACCAACGGGGAUUGCCUCAGUAACGGCGAGUGAAGCGGCAACAGCUCAAAUUUGAAAUCUGACCUCUUCGAGGUUCGAGUUGUAAUUUGUAGAGGAUGUUUCGGGCGCGGGGCCGGUCUAAGUCCCUUGGAACAGGGCGUCACAGAGGGUGAGAAUCCCGUACGCGACCGGCUACCAACCCUACAUGAAACCCCUUCGACGAGUCGAGUUGUUUGGGAAUGCAGCUCAAAAUGGGUGGUAAAUUUCAUCUAAAGCUAAAUACCGGCCAGAGACCGAUAGCGCACAAGUAGAGUGAUCGAAAGAUGAAAAGCACUUUGGAAAGAGAGUCAAAAAGUACGUGAAAUUGUUGAAAGGGAAGCGCUUGCCACCAGACCUGUCCGUUGACGAUCAGCCUUUGUUCUCAGGGGUGCACUCGUCUUCGAUCAGGCCAGCAUCGAUUCGGGCGGUCGGAUAAAGGCCUCGGGAAUGUAGCUCCCCUCCGGGGGAGUCUUAUAGCCCUCGGUGCAAUGCGGCCAGCCCGGAUCGAGGACCGCGCUUCGGCUAGGAUGCUGGCGUAAUGGUUGUAAGCGACCCGUCUUGAAACACGGACCAAGGAGUCUAACAUCUAUGCAAGUGUUUGGGUGUGAAACCCAUUCGCGCAAUGAAAGUGAACGGAGGUGAGAGCCCUCAAGGGUGCAUCAUCGACCGAUCCAGAUGUCUUCGGAUGGAUUUGAGUAUGAGCAUAGCUGUUGGGACCCGAAAGAUGGUGAACUAUGCCUGAAUAGGGUGAAGCCAGAGGAAACUCUGGUGGAGGCUCGCAGCGGUUCUGACGUGCAAAUCGAUCGUCAAAUUUGGGUAUAGGGGCGAAAGACUAAUCGAACCAUCUAGUAGCUGGUUCCUGCCGAAGUUUCCCUCAGGA
rnacentral:rRNA from 1 species